GACGAACGCUGGCGGCGCGCCUAACACAUGCAAGUCGAACGGAGCUGCGCGAAGCUUGCUUUUCUUAGCUUAGUGGCGAACGGGUGAGUAACGCGUGCGUAACCUGCCCUGGAGUGGGGGACAACAAUUGGAAACGACUGCUAAUACCGCAUAAGCCCACGAUCCGGCAUCGGAUUGAGGGAAAAGGAUUUAUUCGCUUCAGGAUGGACUCGCGUCCACUUAGCUAGUUGGUGAGGUAACGGCCCACCAAGGCGACGAUUGGUAGCCGGACUGAGAGGUUGAACGGCCGCAUUGGGACUGAGACACGGCCCCGACUCCUGCGGGAAGCAGCAGUGGGUGAUAUUGCACAAUGGGGGAAACCCUGAUGCAGCGACGCCGCGUUGAGGAAGAAGGUUUUCGGAUUGUAAACUCCUGUCGUUAGGGACGAUAAUGACGGUACCUAACAAGAAAGCACCGGCUAACUACGUG
rnacentral:rRNA from 1 species